rnacentral:lncRNA from 1 species
GUUCAGACGGACAGCCCAUUGUCUGUGCUUCUCCAGUUUCAUCAGGCAGUUUUAGAGGCAUUAAACCCGAACAGGUCACACUGGGCUAACGAAUUUCAUUCUGCGUGGACGACGAUGACCCACGAACCAAAGCCGGCAACUGUGACCUCUGGCCGUGUGGUCUCACAGUGGCGGUGGUUGACAGGUGGCUGGAUCCUGGGCCAGGGAUUCAGUUUUCAUAGUCACUGAAUUUUCCAGGAGUGCAACGACCGUGUCAAUUGAGGAGGGCUGUUCUUGGUUUCAUUUGGACGUUAACCAAGAGCUGGUCACCAUUUCGGAAAAUCGCGUCACCAUUGGCCUCACCCACGGGCACACCUGUGAGCAUCUGCACUUGCAGCUGUUGCCUUCCUGGGGACCCUGGAAGGGGGCAAGCGUCUGAAUCCUUCUUUAUGUGGCCGAGGGAGUCCAGCGUCCCUGUAUAUGAUUUUAUGGCAAAUUACCUUCCUUUUAAUCCUCUUUUAUAUUAUAAUGAAGACAUUAUAUUGUUUUAAACAUCAUAUGUACACGUGAAUUAUAUACCUGUAAAUUCAACUUCAGGAUAGAAAGGCACAUUACCAAAUAUUAUAUAAAUACAAUAUAAUAUCUAUUAUAUAAAUAUAUUUUGUAAAAGGAGCGUCGGGUUUGAACGGGUUGGGGAGCCUGUGAGUCAGGAGACGGGAAAUGGUUUCGUGACGGGUGAGUCAGGGCUAAACGGGGGGACCAGGCAGCCGGGACAGCCACCAAGCAG